rnacentral:rRNA from 1 species
GGUUCAGGAUGAACGCUGGCGGCGUGCUUAACACAUGCAAGUCGAACGGAGUUUUAACGGAAGUUUCGGAUGGAAGUUAAAAACUUAGUGGCGGACGGGUGAGUAACGCGUGGGUAACCUGCCUCAUACAGGGGGAUAACAGUUAGAAAUGACUGCUAACACCGCAUAAUAUAGCGAAACCGCAUGAUUUUGCUAUCAAAUAUUUAUAGGUAUGAGAUGGGCCCGCGUCUGAUUAGCUAGUUGGUGGGGUAAAAGCCUACCAAGGCGACGAUCAGUAGCCGGCUUGAGAGAGUGACCGGCCACAUUGGGACUGAGACACGGCCCAAACUCCUACGGGAGGCAGCAGUGGGGAAUAUUGGACAAUGGGGGAAACCCUGAUCCAGCGACGCCCGCGUGAGUGAAGAAGUAUUUCGGUAUGUAAAGCUCUAUCAGCAGGGAAGAUAAUGACAGUACCUGACUAAGAAGCCCCGGCUAACUACGUGCCAGCAGCUGC